AUUGAACGCUGGCGGCAUGCCUUACACAUGCAAGUCGAACGGUAACGCGGGGCAACCUGGCGACGAGUGGCGAACGGGUGAGUAAUGCAUCGGAACGUGCCCAGAAGUGGGGGAUAGCCCGGCGAAAGCCGGAUUAAUACCGCAUGAGACCUGAGGGUGAAAGCGGGGGAUCGCAAGACCUCGCGCUUUUGGAGCGGCCGAUGUCAGAUUAGCUAGUUGGUGGGGUAAAGGCCUACCAAGGCGACGAUCUGUAGCUGGUCUGAGAGGACGACCAGCCACACUGGGACUGAGACACGGCCCAGACUCCUACGGGAGGCAGCAGUGGGGAAUUUUGGACAAAGGGCGCAAGCCUGAUCCAGCCAUGCCGCGUGCGGGAAGAAGGCCUUCGGGUUGUAAACCGCUUUUGUCAGGGAAGAAACGCUCUGGGCUAAUACCCUGGGGUAAUGACGGUACCUGAAGAAUAAGCACCGGCUAACUACGUG
rnacentral:rRNA from 1 species